rnacentral:rRNA from 1 species
AAAUUGAAGAGUUUGAUCAUGGCUCAGAUUGAACGCUGGCGGCAGGCCUAACACAUGCAAGUCGAACGGUAACAGGAAACAGCUUGCUGAUUUGCUGACGAGUGGCGGACGGGUGAGUAAUGUCUGGGAAACUGCCUGAUGGAGGGGGAUAACUACUGGAAACGGUAGCUAAUACCGCAUAACGUCGCAAGACCAAAGAGGGGGACCUUCGGGCCUCUUGCCAUCGGAUGUGCCCAGAUGGGAUUAGCUAGUAGGUGGGGUAAAGGCUCACCUAGGCGACGAUCCCUAGCUGGUCUGAGAGGAUGACCAGCCACACUGGAACUGAGACACGGUCCAGACUCCUACGGGAGGCAGCAGUGGGGAAUAUUGCACAAUGGGCGCAAGCCUGAUGCAGCCAUGCCGCGUGUAUGAAGAAGGCCUUCGGGUUGUAAAGUACUUUCAGCGGGGAGGAAGGGAGUAAAGUUAAUACCUUUGCUCAUUGACGUUACCCGCAGAAGAAGCACCGGCUAACUCCGUGCCAGCAGCCGCGGUAAUACGGAGGGUGCAAGCGUUAAUCGGAAUUACUGGGCGUAAAGCGCACGCAGGCGGUUUGUUAAGUCAGAUGUGAAAUCCCCGGGCUCAACCUGGGAACUGCAUCUGAUACUGGCAAGCUUGAGUCUCGUAGAGGGGGGUAGAAUUCCAGGUGUAGCGGUGAAAUGCGUAGAGAUCUGGAGGAAUACCGGUGGCGAAGGCGGCCCCCUGGACGAAGACUGACGCUCAGGUGCGAAAGCGUGGGGAGCAAACAGGAUUAGAUACCCUGGUAGUCCACGCCGUAAACGAUGUCGACUUGGAGGUUGUGCCCUUGAGGCGUGGCUUCCGGAGCUAACGCGUUAAGUCGACCGCCUGGGGAGUACGGCCGCAAGGUUAAAACUCAAAUGAAUUGACGGGGGCCCGCACAAGCGGUGGAGCAUGUGGUUUAAUUCGAUGCAACGCGAAGAACCUUACCUGGUCUUGACAUCCACGGAAGUUUUCAGAGAUGAGAAUGUGCCUUCGGGAACCGUGAGACAGGUGCUGCAUGGCUGUCGUCAGCUCGUGUUGUGAAAUGUUGGGUUAAGUCCCGCAACGAGCGCAACCCUUAUCCUUUGUUGCCAGCGGUCCGGCCGGGAACUCAAAGGAGACUGCCAGUGAUAAACUGGAGGAAGGUGGGGAUGACGUCAAGUCAUCAUGGCCCUUACGACCAGGGCUACACACGUGCUACAAUGGCGCAUACAAAGAGAAGCGACCUCGCGAGAGCAAGCGGACCUCAUAAAGUGCGUCGUAGUCCGGAUUGGAGUCUGCAACUCGACUCCAUGAAGUCGGAAUCGCUAGUAAUCGUGGAUCAGAAUGCCACGGUGAAUACGUUCCCGGGCCUUGUACACACCGCCCGUCACACCAUGGGAGUGGGUUGCAAAAGAAGUAGGUAGCUUAACCUUCGGGAGGGCGCUUACCACUUUGUGAUUCAUGACUGGGGUGAAGUCGUAACAAGGUAACCGUAGGGGAACCUGCGGUUGGAUCACCUCCUUACCUUAAAGAAGC